CCAACUGAGCUACCCAGGUGCCUUAUCCUUGUCCAUUUUUCACAGAACUCCAUGUUAUUACUUUGUUGAGCCAUGAAUUGAGCUAUAGCCAUCUUUCUCUGCUCAGGGAUUUAGCCCAAGCUGCCAAAGGGGUUCAGUUAGAAGGCAACUGGUGUGUGCCCACCCAGUGUGGCAUCCACAAGCAUCCUUCCUACCAACACCCCAGUUAAGGUUUCUCCUGUCAGAAUGAGCUCCUCUUCUGAGGGCUCCACCCCAGAGUCAUGGGGUGGCCCUAAUCUCAGGGUCUAGGUCCUGCCAUUGGGCAUUACCUCAGAUGCUCCCUGUGUUAUCUCACUGAGUAUGUUCUUUAGUUUAAGCCAUUAUGAAAAUAGAACUCAAGCAGCCUAUUUCUGCAGGCCUGAAUUUCAGGUGUGACUCUUGGGCUUAUACUUGCUAGCUGUGAGAUUUGGGACAAGUCACUUAAAAACAGACAUACAACACCUUUCUAAAUCUUGGUUUCCUUAUCUGUUGUAUGUGGGUACCAGCAGCUAACUGAAAACCAACUUUAUUUUUUUUUCUAGCAUCCCACUUGUAGGACAAAAAAAUAAAUAACAAGAAGUCAAAUUCAAUUUUGGGGUUUCUUUUAUAAGCCAAUUUUUCAAACUCACCUGUGAAGAUUUAGCCUGAACUCCUAUGCUCCUGGAACUACAUCUCUAAUUAUAACAUCCUUGUAGUUGCAGGUUUUAAGUUAAUGAAAAUGGUUUCAUGGAAGAUUUUUGUAAUCUUCACGUAAUCCUGUGGAGAACAAAUGCGAAAACAGACGCCUAUGGCUUUAAGAGAAACAGUCAUCCUGGAGAGUGUUGCAGGUGUUAAGGAAAAGAAUGUUUCUCGUGCCUUGGUUCAGGGGAUUCCCAAAGGCACACUGUGUCUGCUUCCAACAGCCCGCAGCCUUCAAGGUAAAGAAAGUGGAUCCCAGAGUGGCUAAGAGAUGAGGCAAAACCAGGAUGAAUUUGAAUUCUCUAGGCAAAGCCUGCAAGAGGAGCCCACUGCUCCACUGAAUUCUCCUGUACAAGUUGAAGCUCAUGUGGAACAGAAUCUACAGUGAGAGAUACUGAAUGGUCCUUUUGUAUACUUUGAUCUGAAAGCUUCCCAACCUCUAAGGCAUAUUUUCAGAGUAGAACUAAAGAGAGAGACAGAGAUGCUGAGGAAACUGAGCCAUAAAGCAUGCUGUGCAGGUGAUACAUUGAAGAACCACUCAGCCCACAUCACACAUGUUCCUUAGCCUGCCUGCCUCCAUUGGAGGGCUAUCCCAAUAAAUCCAGAUUGCCUGCUGAGAUGAUCAUCAAAAAGAAUUUCUUAUCUGAAGUUGAAAAAAGAUUCUUGGAAUCCUUUCUGCCAAUAAAACUUGGAAGUUUUGCAACAACACCAACAGGGCAAGCAACUUAGACGUGAGGCUGCCGUGUUGCCUGUAGGUUCGGCCCGGGUCCCACCCUGUCUGUCCCAUGGAAGCAAAUCUGCACAACUAGGAUUACCCUGCACACCACCACAACUGACAAGAGGGCCAAGAACAGACAAAGGAGCCAGGAGUUCAAUUAUCUAAGCAGGGGUUGGAGAUGUCUCUGCAAGACAGGCUACUUGGCAUAGUUGGGAGCCCUGGAGCUGCCGUAAGCACAGGGCACGAAGCCCCUGGACGGAGAAAUCGCUGAGCCAGGCCCUGUGGUCAGCUGUACAAGAACUGCCUCAUUCAAGCCUCAAAAAGCCCCACAGAGGGAGUAGUAUGUGAAGAGUAAUGGGGACCAAAGAGACUAAUAAGGAGACAAAGAGAGACAAGGCCAUGGCGAAAGCAGAGG